GUAAGGAAUAUUGGACAAUGGACGCAAGUCUGAUCCAGCCAUGCCGCGUGAAGGAUUAAGGUCCUCUGGAUUGUAAACUUCUUUUAUAAGGGACGAAAAAAGGCUUUUCUAAGUCGUCUGACGGUACCUUAUGAAUAAGCACCGGCUAACUCCGUGCCAGCAGUCGCGGUAAUACGGAGGGUGCAAGCGUUAUCCGGAUUCACUGGGUUUAAAGGGUGCGUAGGCGGGCAGGUAAGUCAGUGGUGAAAUCCUAGAGCUUAACUCUAGAACUGCCAUUGAUACUAUCUGUCUUGAAUAUUGUGGAGGUAAGCGGAAUAUGUCAUGUAGCGGUGAAAUGCUUAGAUAUGACAUAGAACACCUAUUGCGAAGGCAGCUUACUACGCAUAUAUUGACGCUGAGGCACGAAAGCGUGGGGAUCAAACAGGAUUAGAAACCCUGGUAGUCC
rnacentral:rRNA from 1 species